CAGGGAAUAGUUUAUUUAAAAUAUUAAUUUUGGAGAUUAAUGAUAGGAUUAGUAGUCUUUUCCCUGA
rnacentral:tRNA from 1 species